AACAGCCGCCUCAAGUCCUAGACACCCUGACUUCCCUGCCACGGAUAGGCCGUGCUUCAAAUCUUGAGCCAGAAUCAACCCUUUCUCACUGAAGUCGCUGCUGUCAAAGCAUUGUAUCCCUGCAGCAAGCACAGCAACUUAGACAGGGCUUUGGAGUUGAGGUUGAGGACAUUCUCUGUGUCUGUCUCCAUCUCUCUCCUUUUCAGGGCUGGGGAGGAGCUCAAGGCCUCAGGCGUGCCAGGCGGGUGCUCUACCACAGAGAUCCCUUCAGGCAGGGCAUGCUGUCUUAGUCCCCACAAGUUCCCAGACAGUAUGAGAAGCGUUCCUCAAGCCACUCACUGAGACGCUGACGCUCCCUGCCUUUGAAGAGGGAGAACUGUCAUCUCAGACCCUGGGGCACAUCUGCAGGAACCUGCAUGGCUUCUCCUGCUCUGUGUAAACACUGAAGAAGGCAGGGAGAGGACGGGAUGGUAGAGGAGGAGGGUGGCAGUGGGCAGAUUACUUGCUUUUCAACACUUGAUACCAAGGGAAAGAGCUUGGUGGGGUUUGUUUGCUUGUUUUCUGAUUUUAAAACAAGAGCCCUGUGGGCCAGAUAGGAGCAGCUGGAGGCUGACCAGAAAACCACAGACAAGAGCAUCUCUCUGGUCAGGAGCUGGGGAGGGCCUUCCUAAGGGGUUAAGCUGGACUUGCUGUCAGCUUUCCAGCUCUGUGAUAAAUAUCUAAAGGGAAACAUUUCCAAAAGCAGAAAGCUUUACGUUGGCUCAUAGUUUUAUGGGUUCCUUCCUGUGGACAUGUAGCUUCUCUGUAUUGGGCCCUGUGAGUCAGGUGAGGCAAGAAACUACCGCCUGGAGCAGGGUGGAGAAAAAUAUCUCACCUUGUAGCUGCCAGGAAGUGGUGAGUGAGGCUGGAAUGGAGAGGAGAGAAUGUAUAAAAAUGUAUCUUCCCAGGUCAAGACCCCUAUGACCUACUCCUCCAGUUAGGACCCACCUCCGAGUGACAUCACAAUGUUAGGAGGCUAAGGAUGAGGCCAUUGAUUAUAUUGCCACAGGGACAAAGUCUGACUCACCCAGAGUGCUCCUCAAGAGGACCCAAUGCUGUUCAACAUCCAUUUCAUUGAAGACCCCUGGGGCAAUCUAGAACUGUUUUGGAGUCAUUGCCCAGGGCCGAGAGGAAUGUGGAACACUCAUUUUCAGAAGCAAAGUCUGACCUCAUCGUUCUGACGACAGCCCAUAGGUGGCCACGGUGGUCAAGUAAACCCCCAGUCCUUCUGGAAAGCACCAAUCCAAAGGCCUCAUUCUCCCCACUGAAGCAGAGCUUCCUCCCACAGCCAGCUGGCUAACUCAUAGCUGUCGCAGGAGACUUGGGAGGACCCUGUCCUACCUCGUACACCCCAGCGUGUGGAGGGCUGCUCUUCAGACUCUGUGCCAAGCACUUUUGUACACAUCUGUAAGUCAUAGUAACACUGUAGGGUACUGGCCGUGAAACACAUUUCAUACACCAGAAAACGGAUAAGACAAUGGAUAAGCGUACAUAGCUUCUUUAAGAUCACGGUGUGUAAUAGAUCAGUAUUAGCUCAGGACCCCUAGGACUAAGUUCUCAGCACAAAGGAGAUUGAUUUGCCUCAGAGGGACAAAGGACAGGGAAUAAGAGACAACGAUAGGAGAUAGAGAGUAAGAGAGAAGGGGAAGAGAAAAAGAGAAAGGUGGGAGGGGUAUUUGUCCGGGAGGGACAAGGGCUGCCUCUGGAUAGAGAGGAGACAGAUGUGGCCCAUAGGUAAACAGUGGUUUGCGAAGGUAAAAGGUAUCCUAUCUGUGUUAGGAUAAGGUGUUCAAUUUUAAUUGGGCAUCUUAAUUAGGUGAGUCAAAGGGGGCUUUUGAUUGCUAGACUUUAGUACUUCUAUAUCUGGACCUUGGUAGACAUCCUCAGGAGGAGGAAGUGGCCAAAUAAGGGAAUAGAUCUCGGUGGCUAGGUUUAGGAAUAUAAUAAAAUGUGGUUUUGUUUUUUUUUCAAGGCAAAGGGAAUGGGGGAGAAGGGCAAAGCCUGGAAGAGCGAUAUCACACUCAAGGUGGCCUGAGUCCCCUCUAGGUGUUUGAGCCAAAAAAAGCUAUAGUUAUUUUCCAUUGUCCUUCUAACACUUGAACUUGAUCUAAUGUGUAGUCUAUGUAUAGGACGCUGUUGCCAACAGUGUCUUCUUAAUGUGGCUAACACAUGCUCAUCCUUCCCUACCUCUCACACAGGGGACCAGCAAUGCUAUUGGCAUUGAAUUAGAAUGGAUGUUUGACCAAAUACCCAAUACACUGUCAAAGUUUGGUGUUUCACUUCGCUUCUGCGCACAGGGCUAAGACUUAGGAAUUAAAUGUAGGGUCUUGCACCAUACACCUAGUCAUUUACACAGAAUUAAAGCUUAGGUGCAAUGUAACGUGAGACCUCCAGAUGGCACCAGAAAGCCGAGAAAGAAAAACCAGAAUGGCAUUUUCAAUGAGUCUUUGUCUUGUUUCUGAGAGGCAGGCGGGCAGGCUGAGGGAAAUAGCCCCCUGUCACGCAGUCAUUCUUCAAGGAAGGGGACUGUCUGAUGACACAUUUUGCAAAUGUCCAGCGGUUAGAGACACACGAUUGGGGAACUUUGUGAAGCAAACGCAGGCCUUGCGUUUCUGCACGGCGCCUUGAGAGUCAAGAGGGUGGUUCUAUAGGCUGUCUCGGGAACAAAGUGCGGAAAGAUAGAUGUGUUGCUGCAGAGCCCAUCGCUAAAGCUUUUGUUGCGGUACAAUCAGAUACACAGAGAUACCUGCAGAAAAAUGGGGAACCGAAGAGGCCACCGUCCCAGCGUUCUCAAUUAUAAUAGCAAGUCCUCUUAGGGCCUCUUACUAAGCCCAAAGAAACAAAGAAACAAUGAACCCCGCUCUGAAAACUGAUAGUGGUCUUUCAACCGCCUGCAAAGAGUCGGGGAGAUGGGUCCCCAAAUACAAGGGUUUAAAAGCAGAUGAUGAAAACGAGAAACCAGAAGCAUGCGAGCCCUGCUGCAAACACUCCACAUGAUUUCUGGGGGAUCAGGCUACCAGGGUGAACAAGGAGCAUCUGGGUGUGCCUGCUGUUUCGUCUGGAGGCGUGCAACUCCACGGAGAGCUCACUAGUUCACAAGGAGUCUCUUUAUCCUGGUGGGCUGUGACCAGAUGUUGGGUUCCUACCUCGACUUCCCUCAAGCGAUGGACUUUGUCUUAAAAUUGUAAGCCAAAUAACCCUUUCCCCCCAUUGUGUUGCCUAUUGUCAGGGUGUUUGUAAGAACUGGAAUGGGGUGCUUCUGCUCUCCAAAUUCAUAUGUUCUCAUCACAGAAGGUGAUGGUAAUAUGACACAGGGCCUCUGGGGAGUGAUCGGGCCCCCAGCAGAGGGCUUCCCGGAUGACACUGAUGGCCUUACAAGAGGGACUCCAGGGAUCUGCCUCAUCCCUUUACCAUGCAAGGAUGCAACAUGGCCAUACCAUGUGUCUGGAAUGAGGCUCUUGGUUGACAGUGCUUUGACCAGGAUUGUGGGACUAUGAAGAAUAAAUGUUUAUUGUUCAUAUGCCAA